UACGGGGGGGGCAAGCGUUGUUCGGAAUUACUGGGCGUAAAGGGCUUGUAGGUGGCCAACUAAGUCAGACGUGAAAUCCCUCGGCUUAACCGGGGAACUGCAUCUGAUACUGGAUGGCUUGAGAUUGGGAGAGGGAUGCGGAAUUCCAGGUGUAGCGGUGAAAUGCGUAGAUAUCUGGAGGAACACCGGUGGCGAAGGCGGCAUCCUGGACCAACACUGACGCUGAGGAGCGAAAGCCAGGGGAGCAAACGGG
rnacentral:rRNA from 1 species